rnacentral:rRNA from 1 species
AGCGAACGCUGGCGGCAUACUUAACACAUGCAAGUCGCACGGAGGGGGCAACCCCUCAGUGGCGGACGGGUGAGUAACGCGUAGGUAUCUAUCCAUGGGUGGGGGAUAACAGUGGGAAACUGCUGCUAAUACCGCAUGACACCUGAGGGUCAAAGGCGCAAGUCGCCUGUGGAGGAGCCUUCGCCCGAUUAGCUAGUUGGUGGGGUAAAGGCCUACCAAGGCGACGAUCGGUAGCUGGUCUGAGAGGAUGAUCAGCCACACUGGGACUGAGACACGGCCCAGACUCCUACGGGAGGCAGCAGUGGGGAAUAUUGGACAAUGGGCGCAAGCCUGAUCCAGCAAUGCCGCGUGGAUGAAGAAGGUCUUCGGAUUGUAAAGUCCUUUCGACGGGGACGAUGAUGACGGUACCCGUAGAAGAAGCCCCGGCUAACUUCGUG